rnacentral:rRNA from 1 species
AACGAACGCUGGCGGCAUGCCUAACACAUGCAAGUCGAACGAGACCUUCGGGUCUAGUGGCGCACGGGUGCGUAACGCGUGGGAACCUGCCCUUAGGUUCGGAAUAACUCCCCGAAAGGGGUGCUAAUACCGGAUAAUGUCUUCGGACCACAGAUUUAUCGCCUUUGGAUGGGCCCGCGUUGGAUUAGCUAGUUGGUAGGGUAAAAGCCUACCAAGGCGACGAUCCAUAGCUGGUCUGAGAGGAUGAUCAGCCACACUGGGACUGAGACACGGCCCAGACUCCUACGGGAGGCAGCAGUGGGGAAUAUUGGACAAUGGGCGGAAGCCUGAUCCAGCAAUGCCGCGUGAGUGAUGAAGGCCUUAGGGUUGUAAAGCUCUUUUACCCGGGAUGAUAAUGACAGUACCGGGAGAAUAAGCUCCGGCUAACUCCGUG